UACGUAGGUGGCAAGCGUUGUCCGGAUUUAUUGGGUUUAAAGGGUGCGUAGGCGGCUUUGUAAGUCAGUGGUGAAAUAUGGCAGCUCAACUGUCAGGGUGCCAUUGAUACUGCAGAGCUUGAGUACAGAUGAGGUAGGCGGAAUUGACGGUGUAGCGGUGAAAUGCUUAGAUAUCGUCAAGAACACCGAUAGCGAAGGCAGCUUACUGGGCUGUAACUGACGCUGAGGCACGAAAAGUGUGGGGGAUCAAACAGG
rnacentral:rRNA from 1 species